rnacentral:rRNA from 1 species
UGGGCAACCUGCCCUCAGCUCUGGGAUAACUCCAAGAAAUUGGGGCUAAUACCGGAUAUGACCGCUGACCGCAUGGUCUGGUGGUGGAAAGAUUUAUCGGCUGGGGAUGGGCCCGCGGCCUAUCAGCUUGUUGGUGGGGUAGUGGCCUACCAAGGCGACGACGGGUAGCUGGUCUGAGAGGAUGGCCAGCCACAUUGGGACUGAGAUACGGCCCAGACCUCCGUACGGGA